ACUUGGUUGGCUCAGUGGUUGAGCACCUGCCUUUGGCUCAGGGCGUGAUCCCGGGGUUGUGGAAUCAAAUUCCGCAUCAGGCU
rnacentral:tRNA from 1 species